GACAGAGGGUGCAAACCUUGUUCGGAAUUACUGGGCGUAAAGCGCGUGUAGGCAGUCCUGCAAGUCAGGUGUGAAAGCCCUGGGCUCAACCUAGGAAGUGCACUUGAAACUGCAGGACUGGAGUCCUGGAGAGGAAGGCGGAAUUCUCGGUGUAGAGGUGAAAUUCGUAGAUAUCGAGAGGAACACCGGUGGCGAAGGCGGCCUUCUGGACAGUGACUGACGCUGAGACGCGAAAGCGUGGGGAGCAAACAGG
rnacentral:rRNA from 1 species